rnacentral:misc_RNA from 1 species
GCGGGAUCAUAUUAUACCUUACAGAAAGGUAAGGUGUGACAAUUCUCGAGAAGAAGCAGCUGCUACUAACCCUGCCUUGUCAGUAUGUAAAAAGGCUAUAUGGAUCUUUUUAUGCCAUUUAGCUCUGGUUGAAACCAAUUCCACAUCAAUAUUCAAAAAUUGUAAAUCUCUUGAUACUAUUUUCCCCUACUUCAUUUUAGGUCUCUCCCUUUUCUUUCUCACUCUUUCCACCACUAACUUAUAACACUUCAGCACUGAGGCAUUAGAAACUCAAUAUUAGACAUGACCAAACCAUCAUAAUCAAUUCUCUCAGAGUUCAUCCCCCGAUGUGUGGUACAUGCAUUCUUUGAUGUAUGUGAUCAUUACUAAUCUAUCCAUUAUCGUGUUGCCCAACGUUCACUCUCAUAAAACAUAGUUGGCCUUACUAUAGUUCCAUAGAAUUUACUUUUCACUUUGUCAGAGAUUAUACAAUCGCCUAGCACGCCUAUUGCAUUCCAUUUCAUCCAUCCAGUUUUAAUCUUAUUAGUUACAUCCUCAUCCAUUAGUUACUCUGUUCUUCUGAAUGAUAAAAUCUAAAUACUUGAAUCGAUAGCAUUUUGGCACCAAAACUCUAUCCAAUCGAACCUCACCUCUAUCCUUCUAUGAGAGCUGAACUCCCAAUGCAUAAAUUCCAUCUUACUUCUACUUAACCCAGAGCCCUUGCUUUCAAGAGUCUUUCUCCACAAUUUCAAUUUUUCCCUUUUGGUUAACUCUUUUAUUAGUUCCAUCUACUAAGACAACGUCAUCUGCAAAUAAACAUUUCAAUUUGAAAUACUUUUCAAAAUUCAAAAUAAUGCAAUCUAUUGCACGCUAUACAAGCAAUAAAUACAAAAAGAUUCAUUGAGAUUUUCCUUA